rnacentral:rRNA from 1 species
AAUGAACGCUGGCGGCGUGCUUAACACAUGCAAGUCGUGCGCGAAGGAGGCUUCGGUCUCCGGAGAGCGGCGAACGGGUGAGUAACACGUGGGUAAUCUGCCUGGGAGCGUGGGAUAACCUGGGGAAACUCGGGCUAAUACUACGUACGUUGAUGGGAUUACGGUUCUGUCAAGAAAGCUGGCCUCUGUUUACAAGCUAGCGCUCCCAGAGGAGCCCGCGGCUGAUUAGCUAGUUGGUGAGGUAAUGGCUCACCAAGGCUUCGAUCAGUA